GACGAACGCUGGCGGCGUGUCUAAUACAUGCAAGUAGAACGCUGAAGGAGGAGCUUGCUUCUCUGGAUGAGUUGCGAACGGGUGAGUAACGCGUAGGUAACCUGCCUGGUAGCGGGGGAUAACUAUUGGAAACGAUAGCUAAUACCGCAUAAGAGUAGAUGUUGCAUGACAUUUGCUUAAAAGGUGCAAUUGCAUCACUACCAGAUGGACCUGCGUUGUAUUAGCUAGUUGGUGGGGUAACGGCUCACCAAGGCGACGAUACAUAGCCGACCUGAGAGGGUGAUCGGCCACACUGGGACUGAGACACGGCCCAGACUCCUACGGGAGGCAGCAGUAGGGAAUCUUCGGCAAUGGACGGAAGUCUGACCGAGCAACGCCGCGUGAGUGAAGAAGGUUUUCGGAUCGUAAAGCUCUGUUGUAAGAGAAGAACGAGUGUGAGAGUGGAAAGUUCACACUGUGACGGUAUCUUACCAGAAAGAGACGGCUAACUACGUG
rnacentral:rRNA from 1 species